GGAAUUUUGGACAAUGGGCGAAAGCCUGAUCCAGCAAUGCCGCGUGAGUGAAGAAGGCCUUCGGGUUGUAAAGCUCUUUUGUCAGGGAAGAAACGGUGAAGGCUAAUAUCCUUUGCUAAUGACGGUACCUGAAGAAUAAGCACCGGCUAACUACGUGCCAGCAGCCGCGGUAAUACGUAGGGUGCAAGCGUUAAUCGGAAUUACUGGGCGUAAAGCGUGCGCAGGCGGUUUUGUAAGUCUGACGUGAAAUCCCCGGGCUCAACCUGGGAAUUGCGUUGGAGACUGCAAGGCUAGAAUCUGGCAGAGGGGGGUAGAAUUCCACGUGUAGCAGUGAAAUGCGUAGAGAUGUGGAGGAACACCGAUGGCGAAGGCAGCCCCCUGGGUCAAGAUUGACGCUCAUGCACGAAAGCGUGGGGAGCAAACAGGAUUAGAUACCCUUG
rnacentral:rRNA from 1 species